rnacentral:rRNA from 1 species
UGGCCUUAUUAGCGGCGAGUGAAGCGGCAAAGCUCAAAUUUGAAAUCUGGCACCUUCGGUGUCCGAGUUGUAAUUUGAAGAUUGUAACCUUGGGGUUGGCUCUUGUCUAUGUUUCUUGGAACAGGACGUCACAGAGGGUGAGAAUCCCGUGCGAUGAGAUGCCCAAUCCUAUGUAAGGUGCUUUCGAAGAGUCGAGUUGUUUGGGAAUGCAGCUCUAAGUGGGUGGUAAAUUCCAUCUAAAGCUGUAUAUUGGCGAGAGACCGAUAGCGA